rnacentral:ncRNA from 2 species
CCAAUAGCGUAUAUUAAAGUUGUUGCAGUUAAAAAGCUCGUAGUUGAAUUUCGGGAUUGACGUGACGGUCAUGCCUUAAGGGGUAUGAACUGUUACUGUUGAUUUCUCACCUUCUGGAGAAACUUGAUGUCCUUUAUUGGGUGUCUUGCGGAUCCAGGACCUUUACCUUGAAAAAAUUAGAGUGUUUAAAGCAGGCAUUUUUGCUCGAAUACAUUAGCAUGGAAUAAUAGAAUAGGACGGCAUGGUUCUAUUUUGUUGGUUUCUAGGAUCACCGUAAUGAUUAAUAGGGAUAGUUGGGGGCAUUAGUAUUCAAUUGUCAGAGGUGAAAUUCUUGGAUUUAUUGAAGACUAACUACUGCGAAAGCAUUUGCCAAGGAUGUUUUCAUUAAUCAAGAACGAAAGUUAGGGGAUCGAAGACGAUCAGAUACCGUCGUAGUCUUAACCAUAAACUAUGCCGACUAGGAAUCAGACGAUGUUAAUUUUUUAAUGACUCGUUUGGCACCUUACG